GUCCUGUAGAAAUUGUGGAAGAGAUGAGAUUUCGUCAUGAGGGCCUGGCCAAAAGCCAGGUAACUAACUCAUGCCUGUGGUUAAUUCUUUGCUUUAGUUUCCCACUCAAAGUUUGCUGCCUUCCUCAGAGGCCUUCUUGUUAUCCUUCUCAGAAAGGACCCCUGCUGUUAAAAUGGGAGGGAGAAAUGAGAAACACCCUAGAUAAAGGGGCAAGGGAGAGACUUCUAAACAGAGGCCAGAAAGCCUGGAUUCUGACUCACUCUGCCACCAGCUGCUCAGGGAUCCUGAGCAUCAUUGACAUGCCUCUGGGAAUGGCAGAAUGACAUCUGACAAUCAACCUUUGAUCCACACUUGAAGCCACUGUCUUCCUAAGAAUAUUAUCCUCAGCAAGGUGUGGUGGCACACACCUUUAAUCCCAGAACUCGGGAGGCAGAGGCAGGCCCAUCUCUGUGACUUCAAGACCAGCAUGAUCUACAGAUUGGGUUCCAGGACAGCCAGGGCGACACAGAAAAACCCUUUCAAAACAUAAAACAAACAAGCAAACAAAAGACUAUUAUCCUGAACCAAAUCAAACUUUGGCCUGCUAAUGCAAACAGAUCCCAUUCACCAGAGCUCCUGAGGAUGGAUAUUCCUGCUGUGUCCUGAGAAUAUUCUACCAGCGAGGGAGAAGGAGCUUGAAGCCAGCUGUCAACUUAAGGAGAUCCAGGAAACAGGAAAGUGCAGGCAUGCACCCAACGGGUUGUGUACCACCAGGAAAGGACUGGGAGAAUAAAACCCACCCAGACUGGCAUACCUCCAGUAGAGAAGAGGAAGAAUGUUAAGUGACCUCGCGGGAGAACUGGAGCUUCCCAGGUUAUUGGGAAGGAUGCAUUGCUGAUGCUUAAUCAAGGCCUGAGACCUUUCAGCGCACAGAUCCUGCUCAGGAAGGCUUCUUCACACCUACGAAGUUUCUGAGGUUUAUGAAGUCUGACCCUUAGCCAAGAGUAUCUCUAGAAAGUUGUGCCAGGAAAGGAGGCAACUGACAAUCAUCUUAAAAUGUCAGACUCUGAUAUGAAUCCAGUGCCUCUGGGCUCCAGGCUGCCUCUCGGUCCCUCUUUGGCAGCAAUACCUGUCCUUCCCAAGGACAGACAGACGGCAAGGACAUCCAGAAGGAAGCAGCUGGCAACUGAUCAACAGCAGUUUGUUUAUAUGAUGGAUUACAUUGACAGGUUUUCAUACGUUGAACUAUCCCCUCAUCUCCGGGCUGAAGCUUACUUGAUCAUGGUUGAUGAUCUUUUUCAUGUGUUCUUGGAUUCAGUAUGAAAUGACAGGCUGUGAAUUACUUCAAAAUUAAUAGAGACCAGAUUUGGUUGGGGAAGACACCCUGAAAAUCUUGGCUACAGACAUAAUGAAAUAAACCUAGAAAAACUACAAGACAGGGUCUAUUGUGGAUGCCAUCAACCCCAGACAACAGGAAGCAGUCUAGAGAACACAAUGCCCACAUUCCCAAGAUGGGCCAAGUGCAGCCACCACCCCUCAUCAAAGAAGCCUCUCUACAGCAAAUGGAGACCAUCACGGCAAACCACAACUGGACACAGUGCAGAGGUCAAUAGACCAUGGGGAGCCCAGCCCCACAGAUACCCCUCUUCACAGCUCCUGCAUCUAUGGCUCAGGGAACAUCAAGGAAGAGGGGCUGUAAAGAUGUUAAGAGCCAGGAUACUAGGAAGAUACCAUGAUGAAGAAAGCGGAGAGAUUUUCCGUCACACUCUGCUGACCCUGCACUUUCUCUAAAUAGAGGAAACUCCACUCACUACACAUUCUGUGGUAAUGGAGACUUGCAUUGACACUCUUCCUGCAAAAGGGAAAUGUUACCACAUAGUGAGGGAUGUGUUGAAAAGAUUGGUUUCCCCUCCUUUUGAGUUGUGAGUCAGGGGAGUCCAAGCAACACCCUUCCCCAAAUCAUAUAAAAUAUUGCCGUUUGUCUUGGUAGCAUCUCGGGAUCUGAAGAAAAUGCAAACUUCAGAUCCAGGACUUAGAGGAGCUGAGCUUGAUGCCCUGAAAGCCUCUUCCCCAGGGCUGGCUCUCACAAGAACUGCCAUGGGAGAAAGUCCUCCCCACAUGUAAAGCCUACAAAGUACCAUGGCCAGCAUGGCAAGAUGUGCCCAAAGAUGCACUAGUGGCACUUAUAUCUUGGGGGUAACAGAAUGCCACCUAAUUGGACUUAAGGCCAGCUCAAUAGAAGGGAUUUCAUGCCUGGUUCUACAGACUUAGCCAACUGCCCUGGGCUGAUGAACCUCGAGGAACUACUACUGCCCCUUUCUUAAACUAGUUUAAUAUUUAACUGCAUUCGAAAUAUUUAUCUAUAUACACACAGACAAAUGUAGACCUCACUCCUCAUCAAAGACACUUCUUUUUACAGCAUAUAAAAACUAUUACAAAGAUCUGUAAUGCUGUGGAAUGCUCUUGUAUACUGUAAAGAGUUAUCACUGGAAUGGGUUUAAUAAAAUGCUGAGGGAGCCCGCUAGCGCCGAUUGGACUAAGAGGUGAGUCUUUGUUUUUAUAGCUAAAUACCCCAGCCUCAAGGCUUAUGCCCCCACACCACCACCCAUUGCUGUCUCAGGCCAGUAGGCAGGUCUCCUGCAGACAGACGGAUUACAGCCAUCCCCCACUAGAUCCUGUAACCCUCAAGCCCCACCUCCUUCAACCCCCCCCCCCCCCCGAGACUGCAACUGCUCCCUGAGACAGAGCCUCCCAGC